rnacentral:rRNA from 1 species
UACGGGGGGAGCAAGCGUUGUUCGGAUUUACUGGGCGUAAAGGGCGCGUAGGCGGUCAGCACAGGUCAGUUGUGAAAUCUCCGGGCUUAACCCGGAAAGGGCAACUGAUACUGUGCGACUAGAGUGCGGAAGGGGCAACUGGAAUUCUCGGUGUAGCGGUGAAAUGCGUAGAUAUCGAGAGGAACACCGGCGGCGAAGGCGGGUUGCUGGGCCGACACUGACGCUGAGGCGCGAAAGCCAGGGGAGCGAACGGG